GUCCUCACUUUGGCAGCAUACAUACUAAAAUUGGACUGAUACAAAGAAGAUUAUUUGUGUCUCUGCAUAAGGAUGGCAUGUAAAUUCGUGAAGUAUUUCGUAAUUUA
rnacentral:snRNA from 1 species